AUAUGAAAUCGUAUAUCACAAUGGCCUUGAUUGGCAUCUUCUUCAAGAUAAAAGGGCUGAUCAUUUGGUGCUGAACAAAAAAUUGGGAUGUUCUUCUCUGGCAAAGCUCCACAAGUACAGACAUCUACGGCAAAGCUGAAUGAGACAGCACAGUACACUGCAAGGCUUCCGCACAGCAAAUGCAGCAGUCAAUAGGUGAAAGGGAGCCCUUGGGGUGGGAGAAAACUCUUGUAAAACAUGUAUUCCACCAGGGGUUAAUGUUCAAAUUAUGUAAUUUUAUGUAAAAUAUGGAACUCUUACAACUU